CUUGUCUCAAUUCCUGCCUUUUGUUACGCCGUCACAGUCGGGCUUUCUAUUUUCCGGGGGACGCUACGAGGCAACAAGAACGACAUUACUUCACUUUAGAGCCGCUUGUCAGUGUUUAGCGAGUUACUUGUUUUGACUUAAAUGUGGUAGUUGACGUAUAAUAAGAAGAGCGGCUGUAAAAGUAAGUCGAGGGGUUAGCCGGCUAGCGAGAAACUGAAGAUGUAGCUAGGCUAGCUGGCUACGUCGAGCCGCUCGGCUGGGCGUCUCGGGGUUUUCACCUCGCUUGUUCGGCGGUGGCCUUCAGCGUCGCAUCUCCACGGCUCCUCGCGUGCCCCGGGUCUCUCUCUCGCAGGAGGAGGAGGAGGAGGAAGCGUAACUCCGAUUCGACCGCUACGGAGGCAACGUUGAGGAG